AGCAGCCGCGGUAAUUCCAGCUCCAAUAGCGUAUAUUAAAGUUGUUGCAGUUAAAAGCUCGUAGUUGAAUUUCGGGGUUAGUAGGUUGGUCAUGCCUCUGGUAUGUACUGGUCUCACUGAUUCCUCCUUCCUGAUGAACCUUAAUGCCAUUAAUUUGGUGUUUUGGGGAAUUUGGACUAUUACUUUGAAAAAUUAGAGUGUUUAAAGCAAGCUAACGCUUGAAUACAUUAGCAUGGAAUAAUGAAAUAGGACGUUCGAUCCUAUUUUGUUGGUUUCUAGGAUUGACGUAAUGAUUAAUAGGGAUAGUUGGGGGCAUUAGUAUUCAAUUGUCAGAGGUGAAAUUCUUGGAUUUAUUGAAGACUAACUACUGCGAAAGCAUUUGCCAAGGAUGUUUUCAUUAAUCAAGAACGAAAGUUAGGGAUCGAAGACGAUCAGAUACCGUCGUAGUCUUAACCAUAAACUAUGCCGACUAGGGAUCGGAUGAUGUUAAUUUUUAAUGUACUCAUUCGGCGCCUUACGG
rnacentral:misc_RNA from 1 species